AUUAGAUUAAAAACCAAUGCCCUCUGGGCUCCUUGGUGAUUCAUAAUAACUUAACGAAUCGCAUGGCCUUGCGCCGGCGAUGGUUCAUUCAAAUUUCUGCCCUAUCAACUUUCGAUUGUAAGAUAGAGGCUUACAAUGGUCUUAACGGGUACGGGGAAUUAGGGUUCUAUUCCGGAGAAGGAGCCGGAGGAACGGCUACUACAUCCAAGGAAGGCAGCAGGCGCGCAAAUUACCCAAUGCUGAUCCAGCGAGGUAGUGACAAUAAAUACUGAUACGGGGCUCUUUCGGGUCUCGUAAUUGGAAUGAGUACAAUCUAAAUCCCUUAACGAGGAACAAUUGGAGGGCAAGUCUGGUGCCAGCAGCCGCGGUAAUUCCAGCUCCAAUAGCGUAUAUUAAAGUUGUUGCCGUUAAAAAGCUCGUAGUUGAACCUUGGACCUGGCUGAUCUGUCCUCCUAAUCGAGCGCACGGAUUCGGUCGGGUCUUUCCUUCUGGGGAGCCCUAUGCCCUUCACUGGG
rnacentral:rRNA from 1 species